UUUGAUCUCGAGAGGUUUCUAGGUUAAGGAAGUCGAUUUGGGGGUUUCGUCUUAGGGUUGAAAAUCGAGAAGGGGGUUUCGAUUUCUUGGUUAAAAUCGACAUACGGUUUCCUUUUAGGGUUCGUUUAUCGUGGAUUUCAUUUCGAUUUGGGGGUUUCGUGUAAGGGUUCGAAAUCUAAAAGGUGGUUUUAAUUUCUUCGUUUAAAUCAACAUACGGAUUUCUUUUACUGUUCGUUCAUCGUGGAUUUGAAUUGGAUUUGGGGGUUUUUAGUUAGUCUUUCAAAUUUUUUUUUUGUUUCUCGGUUGCUUCUGUUCUAAUUAUUUGUUUUCCUGAUACAGAUGGAUCCCGAAGCAGAGAUAAGAGACACAAAGAGAAGAAAGGAGCACAUCAAUAUGCUUUCAUACGUGUGUGAUUCAGAACACGGGAUUCCGACGAGGUGUCCCUGUGGUGGGAGUAUAAUUCACGAGGUUUGUGGGAAGGAGGAAUACGACACUCUCCCCGGCAAGCGUUUCUUCACCUGCAUAAACUACGAGGCUGAUGGUUUUCAUUAUCGUCAGCCUUGGGUCAUUAGUGUGCAGGAGCAUAUCGAACGGCUCACAAGUCGUGUGGAGGAGGUGGAGGCAGUGAUCAAGUGGGUGCCCGAGGUGAAUAAUAAGAUUAAGAGUCUGGAGGUAAUCUGACUUCCCACUUUUGAAUUUUGUUUUGUAAUUUUUUUCUUAUAUUUUAUACAGUGACUAACACCAUCUCAUUGUCAUUUCCUUGUACAGGCAGAGGUAAAAGCCCUCACUGUGGAGGUUGAUAGGCUCACUGGAAAGGUUUAUAACCUGACCGUGCAGGUGGAUCACUUGGAGAAAUGCUGCUUCGACUGAAAACACAAAGGUCACCAGUUCAAGGAGGAGGAUGCGUGGAUGGUUGCAGGUCUCUGUUUCUUUAUGUAUCAAAUCAAGUCACGGGUGGUAAUGUAGUAGUAGGAGGUUGUAGUGGUAGGUUAUGUAAGAUGGAAUCACGGGAGAGUGUAGUGUUUUCCAACUUUCUACACUCGUUUUAUGUAUGUAUCAAAUCAAGGGUAUGUCCCCACGGCUUUGCUUUUGUACUCACAGGUGUAUGUACCCACAUGCUACUUGCUUCAAUGUUUUUCUAUAUAUAUGACUAUGUGUUUCAUUCUAUUUAUCUCAUUCAUGCAUUUUAUCAAAACUAUCUUACCAACUAUGUGAUACAUCAGUUUGAUUCUUCUUACCAUCAGCCAUACUUUUAUCAAAACUAUCUCACCAUCUCGGAAUCUCACCAACCAACACCACUACGAGAAUCACCAACCAACACCACGAGAAUCACAACAGCAAUCAAACAAGAAUCACCAAUCAACACAAGGAAUCAACUCUACUACUCCUCAACCCCACAGAUCAUCUCUACCAUUCAACAGAGGUAAGUUGAAAACCAAAAAUUCUAAGUAAUGAACAUAUCCUUAAAUAAUGAAAUUAUAAAUUCUAUUUAUCAUAUUUAAAACCAAAAAAAGGUUUAUAAUUUACUAAAGUUAAAACCCAAAAAAAAAAGAUUCAAGAGAAAUAAACAGAUUUAUAAUUUUAAUGAAAAACUUUACUAAGGUUAAAACCAAAAUAAUAUAAAAAAAAACUAAGGUUAAAACCCAAAAAAAAAUUGAAGAGAAAUAGAGAAAUAAACUUUAAAAGAGGAAAAGCAUACUAUAUAUAAGAAAUAAAAAUUUGUUUUAAAAGUUUAUUAAAAAUUCCUCCCUAUUGCCUUUUGUAGGAAAAAUAUUACAAUAAAUAUCAUCAACAAUGUCUUCCUCAUCAAGUGAUGAAGCGGAUGAAGUUUUUGAUGAACUGGUCGAUGAAGUAGUUGAUAAUUUCAUCGAUACAGUAAUUGAUGGUCAAACCAACAAACCAAAGAGGCGAGCUUAUAUUGAAAGAGAUCGAGAACUAGGACACAUUCAACUAUGCAACGACUAUUUCAGUAAUAAUCCAACGUACACACAAGAUAUGUUUAGGCGGCGGUUUCGAAUGAACAAGCCAUUGUUCCUUCGCAUUGUCGACCGUCUAAGUACUGAAGUUCCGUACUUUCAGCAAAGAAGAGAUGCUACCGGAAGGAACGGGCUAUCUCCACUUCAAAAGUGUACGGCAGCGAUACGUAUGCUCGCAUAUGGUCAGUCAGGAGAUACAUAUGACGAAUAUCUCCGGAUGGCUGACAGUACAUCACGUUUAUGUUUGGCAAAAUUCACUGAUGCAAUAAUACAAUUGUUUGGGGAUGAGUAUCUACGAACACCUACAGCCGAGGAUCUUCAGCGAUUACUCGAUAUUGGAGAGGUACGGGGAUUUCCGGGGAUGAUAGGCAGCAUCGACUGUAUGCACUGGGAGUGGAAAAACUGCCCAACAGCUUGGAAAGGCCAGUUCACACGUGGUUCGGGAAAGCCGACAAUUGUCUUUGAAGCCGUGGCAUCACAAGAUCUUUGGAUUUGGCACGCUUUUUUCGGCUUACCAGGUACCCUAAACGAUAUCAAUGUUCUUGAUCGGUCUCCAGUUUUUGAUGACAUCUUACAUGGUCGAGCCCCUAAAGUGAAGUUCAAGGUCAACAACCACACUUAUCGUAUGGCCUACUAUCUUACCGACUGCAUUUAUCCUCCAUGGGCAACAUUUAUCCAAUCCAUCCCACUUCCUCAAGGUCGUAAAGCACAUAAAUUUGCAGAAAUGCAAGAAUCCGCCAGAAAAGAUGUCGAACGGGCUUUUGGAGUAUUGCAAUCGAGGUUUGCAAUUGUUAGGAACCCAGCUCUACAAUGGGACAAGAAAAGGAUAGGAAAAGUAAUGAUAGCUUGUGUCAUAUUGCACAAUAUGAUAGUAGAAGAUGAACGAGACGGAUACGCUCCAAUUGAUACAUCUGAGUUUGAGACAGGACAGUCUAGCAGAAGUUCGCAGGUGAGAAGCAGAGAUAGUGUUAAUGUCACCCCUGAUAUGUUAGCCAUGCGGAGAGAAGUUCGAGAUAGUGACAAGCAUCAUCGUUUGAAAGCUGAUUUAGUGGAAAAUAUUUGGCAAAUGUUUGGUGAUGAAGAUGAAUAAAUAAGUUAUGUAUGUUAGAAAAAUUUCUCAAUUUAUGUAAUGUACUUUUAAUGUAUUUAAUAAAAUGUUUUCAUAAUUUUAAUAAUAUGUUUUAAUAUUUUAUUCAUCUUUUUUGAAUAUUUUAAAUUUUCUUUUUAAAAAAAUUAAUAUUAUUAUUUUAUUCCUAUGAACUCGUUCUUCGGGUUCACUAAUGCGGAUAACAGCAUAUCCGAGUUCAUAAUGUUCAUGGACCCACGAAAAAAUAUUAAAAAAUGUUGGUGAACCCGAGAGGGGGUUCACCAAUGCUCAUGCUCUUAGAAAUUACACGUCGUGAUGUGAUGUCUUAAUAUGCGAAUCAUAGCUAUUUUCAGUAAUAGGUCCAUACAUUAUACAUUUGUUCCACAUUUCGCCACUGACUUUCAAAACUUUACACUUUGACCCUUAGCCUCACCGAGUGGACUCGGUAACUCUGUCAACGACGAAUCUUUCCAGACGAAAAGACGAGUGCCAAAACCUUAGAAGCUCUGGGCUAAACCUAAAAAUGGCGACUUCGAUGAUUCAGAGGAUGUUCAAGCAAGGCACGAAGAUCGUCGGCGUUGGUCUCAAUUACGCUUCACACGCCAAAGAGCUUGGCAACGCACUCCCAAAGUAGGACCCGAUUGUGUUCUUAAAGCCAACCUCUUCCUACUUGGAAAACGGUGGAACGAUUGAGAUCCCACAUCCUCUGGAUUCACUUCACCAUGAGGUUGAACUCGCUGUAGUGAUCGGACACAAGGCUAGAGAUGUCCCUGAACGGUUAGC